AACACCAUUUUGGUUUUGGAUGAAUCCAACACCAUUUUGGUUUUGGAUGUAUCCAACACCAUUUUGGUUUUGGAUGUAUCCAACACCAUUUUGGUGUUGGAUGCGUCCAAAACCAUUUUGGUUUUGGAUGAAUCCAACACCAUUUUGGUUUUGGAUGCAUCCAACACCAUUUUGGUCUUGGAAGUAUCCAACACCAUUUUGGUCUUGGAUGUGCCAAACCAUUUUGGUUUUGGA